UACGAAGGGGGCUAGCGUUGCUCGGAAUUACUGGGCGUAAAGCGCACGUAGGCGGUCUUUUAAGUCGGGGGUGAAAUCCUGGAGCUCAACUCCAGAACUGCCUUCGAUACUGGAAGACUUGAGUCCGGGAGAGGUGAGUGGAACUGCGAGUGUAGAGGUGAAAUUUCGUAGAUAUUCGCAAGAACACCAGUGGCGAAGGCGGCUCACUGGCCCGGUACUGACGCUGAGGUGCGAAAGCGUGGGGAGCAAACAGG
rnacentral:rRNA from 1 species